UACGAAGGGGGCUAGCGUUGCUCGGAAUCACUGGGCGUAAAGCGCACGUAGGCGGACUCUUAAGUCAGGGGUGAAAUCCUGGAGCUCAACUCCAGAACUGCCUUUGAUACUGGGAGUCUUGAGUUCGGGAGAGGUGAGUGGAACUGCGAGUGUAGAGGUGAAAUUCGUAGAUAUUCGCAAGAACACCAGUGGCGAAGGCAAGCUCACU
rnacentral:rRNA from 1 species